rnacentral:rRNA from 1 species
CAACGCUGGCGGCGUGCCUAAUACAUGCAAGUCGAGCGGAAUGAUGAAGAAGCUUGCUUCUUCUGAUUUUAGCGGCGGACGGGUGAGUAACACGUGGGCAACCUACCUUGUAGAUUGGGAUAACUCCGGGAAACCGGGGCUAAUACCGAAUAAUCCAUUUUGCCUCAUGGCGAGAUGUUAAAAGGCGGCUUCGGCUGUCACUACGAGAUGGGCCCGCGGCGCAUUAGCUAGUUGGUAGGGUAAUGGCCUACCAAGGCGACGAUGCGUAGCCGACCUGAGAGGGUGAUCGGCCACACUGGGACUGAGACACGGCCCAGACUCCUACGGGAGGCAGCAGUAGGGAAUCUUCCACAAUGGACGAAAGUCUGAUGGAGCAACGCCGCGUGAGUGAAGAAGGUUUUCGGAUCGUAAAACUCUGUUGUAAGGGAAGAACACGUACGAGAGUAACUGCUCGUACCUUGACGGUACCUUAUUAGAAAGCCACGGCUAACUACGUG